GACGAACGCUGGCGGCGUGCUUAACACAUGCAAGUCGAACGAUGAAGCCGGAGCUUGCUCUGGUGGAUUAGUGGCGAACGGGUGAGUAACACGUGAGUAACCUGCCCUUGACUCUGGGAUAAGCGUUGGAAACGACGUCUAAUACCGGAUACGAGCUAGGACCGCAUGGUCACUAGCUGGAAAGAACUUCGGUCAAGGAUGGACUCGCGGCCUACCAGUUAGUUGGUGAGGUAACGGCUCACCAAGACGACGACGGGUAGCCGGCCUGAGAGGGUGACCGGCCACACUGGGACGAGUACACGGCCCAGACUGCUACGGGAGGCAGCAGUGGGGAAUAUUGCACAAUGGGCGCAAGCCUGAUGCAGCAACGCCGCGUGAGGGACGACGGCCUUCGGGUUGUAAAGCACUUUAGCCUGGAAAGAAAAAACUUUGGUUAACACCCAAAGUCUUGACGGUACCAGGAGAAUAAGCACCGGCUAACUC
rnacentral:rRNA from 1 species